AGCUUUCUGUAUCCGUACUGAGAUUUCGUCAGUGAUCAACCCAUUGGGGCUGGCUGAUGGUACUUCCAGAUAAGUGAAGCG
rnacentral:pre_miRNA from 1 species